GGUUUAUUUUCCGAUCGAAACUGUUCAAGUUGCAGAUCUUGUCAAGAAGAAAAACCCUGUUGAAAAUCAUGUUAAUCGAAUUCUAAUUAAUACAUAAUCGGAGAUAAUUUUGGUGAAAUUAUUUUUAUGAAAAUAAAUUUGCCCACACUUGAUAAAUCCCAAUACACUAUUAGUACUACUACGUCGCGGAAUAAAUUCACUCCAACGAGAGGGACGGAGACAGAGAGCCGAAGCCAGUCGUCACCGGAGAAAAGACGCGGUCAAGUCUGUUCUCCGUUAGUUUUCCGAUGUACAGGAAAACAAAGAAGAGAAAAUGGAAUUGCUGCCUUGCGACUGCUAUAACAGGAGCGUCAAGUGGUAUCUGCACUUGCGUUGCGUGGUGUCCAUGUAGUAAUGGGCGUAAAUAUGGCUUCUGGAAAAGAGGUCAAAGAAGCUACAGUUAAGGAAAUCCCAACCGCAAAAUUUGAAGCUAUGGAAUUGGACCUCAAUUCGUUGACAUCUAUGAGGAAGUUUGCAUUGGAGUUCAUUUCAUCGGGUCUUCCUCUGAAUCUCCUCAUGUAGGUCAUGUCAAGGAUAUGAUAGAGUAAACUUUCUCCUCCUUCACUCUCCAUCUCUCUCAUAGUCUCAACUAACCUUUGUAGUUGAAGCUUGAUUUUUGCGAGUAAUUUAGGUGGGUUUGUAGUUGUUCAUGAGCCUAAAGUGCCUUUCUAUAAUUUCAAGAAAACUUUCUUGAUGCAAGAGAAAACUCUAAGAGAGACCUCUAUGUGGCUUUCAGAUGUUACAUUGAAAGAUGUCCAUGUCGGCCUCUUUGCGUCCACUAGUGUGAUUUCUUAGUGUAUUGAAUGCUAGGCAUAUAUCUUCUACGCAAUCAUAGCACUGUUGAAAAACUUAUUAAACCCUCGUGUUAGACAUACCCUUCCCCAAUGUACUUGUUGGAUAAUCCUUUUUUGUCACCAUAAAUUCAAACCCUUCAUUACAGUCUUACCUCAAUCUAGUUGGCAUGCAACAUAGAAAGAAAACCAACAGCGCCCUCCAUUCCUUUCCAUAUCCUAGUUGGGACCGUUGUGACUACUUCAAGAAUGUUUCGAACCCCUCAAGUUCACGUAGCCCUCAAGAUGAAACGGUACCUUUCUUAGGGCAGUAUUCAACUGUUCUUUUCUGGGGUCUUAUUUACUCAGCUCUAUCCUGUCCUCAGUUGCCUGUGUUUCCAAAUUUUUUAGAAUGAGUCAGUUAAAUUUCUGGGGUAAUAACAUAUCCGACCUGCUUGGCCUUUUUAACUUUUAAGCUUAAUUAUGAGCUCAAAGCAAUUCUUUCUUCUUGUUGCAUGUAAUAAAGAAAACAUGGCAACUCCAUUCAUGAUUUCAUUACAGGCGAGAAUGUACAAUUUCCAUGUUUCCAAAACAAGGACUUUAUUAGGGCCGAGAAACUGAACACAUCCUUUGGGUAAGACAAUAUGCUUUUUGUGAAACUGAUAAAAAAAAAGAUCCUUAAAAGUACAACAGGAAAGUCCGAAUCUCCAUAGGACCGAGCUCAACAACAAGAUCAGAAUCGUUGACGGGGCCACCUCUAAUAGCUUCAGGCUCCCCACUGUUGUCCCCUUCAACUUUCCAAGUCAUCUUCUUCAUCUGUGAUUUCUCUUGGUUUGCUGACAAGCUCAUUUCCUUCACCUCCUUUAUCUGAAAAGUUUAACCACCAAGAAAAAGAAGAAAGAGAAGUUUAGAAUCAAGCAGAAUGUAGGAAAAAGAUUGUCAAUGAGAAGUGGGCAUAAAUACCGUUUUUCCAGCAAAAACCUUCUUCAGUUCAACUUUGGCUAAUGUCGAAUACUCGGCAUCCUCGCCAGCCUAAACACAUUUGUUGCAUGAAAGGAGUGGAUUAGAGGAUGAUAGGAAAAAAUGGACAAGAGAAAUGAACGGUGAAGGGGACUGGAAGUCUUUUAUCUCUUAGAUAAGGGCCAGAACAUUUAUAUCUACAAGGCAAAGCCAGCAUUUCUGUCUCAAAAUAUGGGAACAAAGGCUUUCACGGUUUUAUGUCCUUCAUCUUCAUUGUCUGUCACAAAAUAUUAAAAAAGAGAAGAAAAGAAACAAAAAGGGUAUCUAUAAUUAUUCAGGUAAAUUGGCUUAUCUCCUUCCCACAUCAAAUUCUAGUCUCAGACAAUGUAUGAUUAGUUUUACUGCAAUUUUUAAGUUCUUAAAGUUUUCGGCAACAAUGGCAAUGUACAACUUAACGAACCAAAUUUGUAGAACUUUGACUUGAGCAUUAGUCAACAGCUAAAUAUCAAGAGUGCCAUAGCAGACGUAAGUCAAGUACGUUGCCUGGGAAAAGUAGCUUAAAGGAAUCAUAAAACUGACUCUAGAUGUAGAGAUGAGAUACCAAUUGCAUCUACAAACAGCAAUAAAAUCAAUCGAUAGUAGUUGACAAACCCAAAAUAUUUUUACUUUUGAUAUUUCUCAUGAACAUAAGAAAAGGAUCAUGGUAUCAUUAUCACCUCAUACAGAUGUCCCA